GUACGGGCUCGGGGAGGACGCGUUCGCCGAAGGCGUCCUCGCGGGACGGCGGGCAGCGGCUCCCCUCGACGCCGGUGCCUGGCCGGCCCCGUACACC
rnacentral:tRNA from 1 species